rnacentral:rRNA from 1 species
GUCUACACCAUACCACCCUGAAUGUGCCUGAUCUCAUCUGAUCUCAGAAGCUAAGCAGGGUCAGGCCUGGUUAGUACUUGGAUGGGAAAUGUUAUAGACU